AUCUUCGAUGGUCUAGUGGUCAUGAUUUCCGCUUGUCAAUCCGCAAUGGAUAACAAGCGCGGGAGACCGGGGUUCGAUUCCCCGUCGGAGAGU